rnacentral:lncRNA from 1 species
AACAGCAAAAAAAAGAAAAAAAAAGAAGGAUAUAUAUAUAUAGAGUUCGGCUACUAUACUCUUAUGAGUACGAUCGCUCUCGUACUCAUAAGUCGUUUUCGAUGAUAGAACUUCCGAAUCGACGAUCCAUACCGUUAAACGUUAUUUACAGCAUUUAAAACUUCUAGAAAUCAAACUUUAUAAUUUUUUGACGUUAUUUACCUUACGAUCAAAAGGUCACAAAAUUGACAAUUUUUAACGGCCGGUAUGAGAUACAUGCUAAUAUCAGAGUGACCCGUUCUAUACGGCAUCUGUUCCAACAGAUCGUAAGUUCAAUUCCAACAUCUUUUGCGACAAACAAAUCACCUAAUUCCUUUGCACUUUAAUUACGAGGCCAUUGAUAUAGUUAUUAGGGUUAACUGUAUACAGGUCCCUACAAACAUAGCGACUUGCAAUGUUUUCCAACAGAGUUCAACUUUCAUAUAUUGUUUCUAUAAAAAUUCUGAUGUUUUCAAAUAUGUCCCUGCCAUUAAAAUCUGUUAGAAAAAUUUAGUAAGUAUAGAUUAAAUACUAAAUCUUGGUUAGUUAAUGAGGUGAAUUGACCUUUUUAUCCCUCUUCAAUUAAC